UACGGAGGAUGCAAGCGUUAUCCGGAAUUAUUGGGCGUAAAGCGUCCGCAGGUGGCUGUGUAAGUCUGCUGUUAAAGGGUGAGGCUCAACCUCAUAAAGGCAGUGGAAACUACAUGGCUAGAGUGCGUUCGGGGCAGAGGGAAUUCCUGGUGUAGCGGUGAAAUGCGUAGAGAUCAGGAAGAACACCGGUGGCGAAAGCGCUCUGCUAGGCCGCAACUGACACUGAGGGACGAAAGCUAGGGGAGCGAAUGGG
rnacentral:rRNA from 1 species